rnacentral:rRNA from 1 species
AAAACAGCCCUACGGGAGGCAGCAGUAAGGAAUAUUGGACAAUGCCCGCAAGGGUGAUCCAGCCAUGCCGCGUGCAGGAAGACGGCCCUAUGGGUUGUAAACUGCUUUUACACCGGAGAAAACCCCCCUACGUGUAGGGGGCUGAUAGUAUGGUGAGAAUAAGCAUCGGCUAACUUCGUGCCAGCAGCCGCGGUAAGACGAAGGAUGCAAGCGUUAUCCGGAUUCAUUGGGUUUAAAGGGAGCGUAGGUGGACUGAUAAGUCAGUGGUGAAAUCUCCGAGCUUAACUCGGAAAUUGCCAUUGAUACUGUUGGUCUUGAGUAUAGUUGCCGUUGGCGGAAU